UGGGGAAUAUUGCACAAUGGGCGCAAGCCUGAUGCAGCCAUGCCGCGUGUGUGAAGAAGGCCUUCGGGUUGUAAAGCACUUUCAGCGAGGAGGAAGGUGGUGAGCUUAAUACGCUCAUCAAUUGACGUUACUCGCAGAAGAAGCACCGGCUAACUCCGUGCCAGCAGCCGCGGUAAUACGGAGGGUGCAAGCGUUAAUCGGAAUUACUGGGCGUAAAGCGCACGCAGGCGGUUUGUUAAGUCAGAUGUGAAAUCCCCGGGCUCAACCUGGGAACUGCAUUUGAAACUGGCAAGCUAGAGUCUCGUAGAGGGGGGUAGAAUUCCAGGUGUAGCGGUGAAAUGCGUAGAGAUCUGGAGGAAUACCGGUGGCGAAGGCGGCCCCCUGGACGAAGACUGACGCUCAGGUGCGAAAGCGUGGGGCAGCAAACAGGAUUAGAUACCCUGGUAGUCCACGCUGUAAAACGAUGUCGAUUUUGGAGGUUGUGCCCUUGAGGCGUGGCUUCCGGAGCUAACGCGUUAAAUCGACCGCCUGGGGAGUACGGCCGCAAGGUUAAAACUCAAAUGAAUUGACGGGUCAU
rnacentral:rRNA from 1 species